GACGAACGCUGGCGGCGUGCUUAACACAUGCAAGUCGAACGGAAAGGCCCUGCUUUUGUGGGGUGCUCGAGUGGCGAACGGGUGAGUAACACGUGAGUAACCUGCCCUUGACUUUGGGAUAACUUCAGGAAACUGGGGCUAAUACCGGAUAGGAGCUCCUGCUGCAUGGUGGGGGUUGGAAAGUUUCGGCGGUUGGGGAUGGACUCGCGGCUUAUCAGCUUGUUGGUGGGGUAGUGGCUUACCAAGGCUUUGACGGGUAGCCGGCAUGAGAGGGUGACCGGCCACAUUGGGACUGAGAUACGGCCCAGACUCCUACGGGAGGCAGCAGUGGGGAAUAUUGCACAAUGGGCGGAAGCCUGAUGCAGCAACGCCGCGUGCGGGAUGACGGCCUUCGGGUUGUAAACCGCUUUCGCCUGUGACGAAGCGCGAGUGACGGUAAUGGGUAAAGAAGCACCGGCUAACUACGUG
rnacentral:rRNA from 1 species